rnacentral:tRNA from 1 species
GACAUGGUGGCCGAGUGGUCUAAGGCGCUGGCUUAAGGCGCCAGUCUGAAAAGGCGUGAGUUCAAAUCUCACCCAUGUCA